ACUCUGUAUCAGCGCUACCCAGUGCGGGUGUGGUCCACGGACUGGCAGCAUCAGCAUCACCUGAGAGCUUGUUAGAAAUGUAAAUUCUUAGACUCCUCCCCAGACCUACUGAAUCAGAAUCAGCAGGGUGCAGGCCAGAAACAGAUGUUUCAGAAACUCUCUGGGUGAUUCUGAUGCACUGUAGUGUUUGAGAAGAACUACUUUAAAGUUUGCAGUUACUCCCAUGGACAUUGUAAGAGUUUUACCUCCAUCUUAUGAAGUAGAGAUGUUUUGAUCCAUUCUACAACGGAAUAAGAGAAGGCACAGAGAAUAUAAGGUUCCACACAAAAGGGAGACCAUACAGUAUUUGUCUUUAUCUGGCUUAUUUCACUUAGCAUAGGCCUCCUCAUGUUGUUGCAAACGGUGCUAGCGGAGCUGAGACUGUGAACAUCAAUCAGCAGGACGCAUAGCUGAGCCCCCAGGAUCCCUGACACCAGCAUAAUUUACAGGCAAGAUUCUGCAGCUGUCAGAAUAUCUGGUGCUUGAAGCGGCGUUCCAUGACUUUUCGCUGAUUGGCAAGUCUCCUCGAGAUGCCUUGGGAUUUUGUUACCAUCUGGCAUUGUUCCAUAUCCCUUGUCUUCUGAGUGUUUUAUGAUGAUUAACUGGUUAAACUUCAGAAAAGCUGCGUAGGGUAGACAGGGGCAAGAGGCAAUCGCUUCCUUUCAAGCUCGAGAUGAGGAACUGCUCAUGCAUUGGGAUGGUAGAUGACUCAUACAAGAGCAUAAUGUCACAGAUUCUCGUACCAGAUCAUAGGUUCAUUUAUUAGUUGAUAUUAUUGAACAAUUUUGUGCGCUGGGAACCAAGCUAAAUACUGCGCUUAGAGGAAUAAGACGAAAGACUGCCCUUGUGGAGGUCCCAGACUUAUAGAGGAGAAACAUAUACGCGCAAAAUGUUGGAGGAGAGAAGCAUAUAAAAAGCACAGUAAAAAUACCUGGCAGCUUGCAAGACAGGAUUCAAGGAGGCAACAUCUGUCUUUAGUUUUCAAACAUGAGUGUGAAUUUUCCCUAAUGCAUGUUUGUGUAAGAUAGGAAAGGGAGGAGGAGAAGCAAUUUCUGGGGUCUAGAAUGUUUAGGAAACACUGUGCAAAAAAGCACAGAGACAUAACGUAGCACUUGUUCACGUCUGUACACUCCUUGGACCAAAAAGUGGGCUUUGUAGCUGGGGCUAACAAUUAUGAUUUGAAUUUUUGGAACCAUGAGAGCUAGACCGGAGUCAUCUUAAAGCAUUUAAGGAAUGAGAGGUCAAUAAAUAAAUAUGGCAAUUUACUAAAAAUGGUUAUGUCACCUCUAAAAGACAUAAGGAACUUUUAGCUGAAAAACUUAUCCUGAACAAAGAGAAAAAUGAAUUGAGAAAACUCACAGCUAAGAGGCAAAGAACCAGAGCGUCUAGAAUUGGGCCAUAUUAGGCUUCUGCUGUUUAGGCAAAACUGUGUGGGGAAAGUCCUUUGAACAUUUUGAAGAUUAAAAGUGAAAUUGGAGAUGACCGAGUACUCCUCAAUCCUCGGCUCCUUUCUGCAAGCACGCUCAACUUGCUCUGGCCUAGAAACAAUCAAACCUACAACUCAAAUCUAGUCCUUAUUUGUAGCAGAUUAACUUUGUACUUUCACUGCUCAAUUCCUAAUCUCAGUAUUCUAUGCCUUCUUCCUCUACUCAUUUUUGCCUUAACCCAUCGUUAAUCGAGCCAGUUUCCCAUCUCCAUAUUUCUGCUCCCUGUCCCCAACACUCGUGUACAUUGUGUCAGUGAUCCAUUGUCUUGUAAUCAACAGCCCCAAACUUGAUAAAAUAAAAUAAAAACAAUUAUUUAUUACAAUUCUGUGGGUCAGGAAUUGGGGCAGGGCUCAGCAAGGUAGCACUUUUGUCCUCCAUGAAGCUUACAUGGGUCACUCAAGUGGCUACAAUUUGCUAAGAGCUCAGAUGGGACUGGAACAGCCAAGAUGGACUCUCCUCAUUCAGGAGCUCCCUUCGGGUGUUCUCUAAUCAUUCGCUAGUUUGGUUUGGACUUCAUUAGAGCGUGGAGGCUGGGCUCUGAAAGACAAGAAGCAGAAGCUGCCUGUUCUAUUAGGGCCUUGAUUUGGAUGUCCCAGAAUGUCACUUUCAUUGCAUUCUAUUGGCCAAAGGCACAAAACUGUAGCCUCUUCUUGAUAUGAGUGGCAUUUGCUUAUAAGGAUGGGGGAAACUGAUAACUAUCUGGAAG
rnacentral:lncRNA from 1 species